rnacentral:rRNA from 1 species
GACGAACGCUGGCGGCGUGCUUAACACAUGCAAGUCGAACGGAAAGGCCCCUCGGGGUACUCGAGUGGCGAACGGGUGAGUAACACGUGGGUGAUCUGCCCUGCACUUUGGGAUAAGCCUGGGAAACUGGGUCUAAUACCGAAUAGGACCACGCGCUUCAUGGUGUGUGGUGGAAAGCUUUUGCGGUGUGGGAUGGGCCCGCGGCCUAUCAGCUUGUUGGUGGGGUAAUGGCCUACCAAGGCGACGACGGGUAGCCGGCCUGAGAGGGUGACCGGCCACACUGGGACUGAGAUACGGCCCAGACUCCUACGGGAGGCAGCAGUGGGGAAUAUUGCACAGUGGGCGCAAGCCUGAUGCAGCGACGCCGCGUGAGGGAUGACGGCCUUCGGGUUGUAAACCUCUUUCACCAGGGACGAAGCGUAAGUGACGGUACCUGGAGAAGAAGCACCGGCCAACUACGUG